GCAGCUGCUGCAGAGAAACUGUCUGGAAUAAUGCUAGCCACCACAGGAGAUGGGAAAAGAAGAGGCUAGAGAAAGAUGUGGUUCUCAUCCCAGUUCCAAAGCAGAGAUCUUGAAACACAGGGUGGUUUUCUUCCAGAUAACAGAGAGAUGGAAGGCUGUCUCUCUCUCCAAGAAAAGUCUUUUCACAAUAUGUAAGGGCCCUGCUCAUCUAAACUGAGAACGUGUGCACUUUGAAAUACCUGAAGACACAUUUGCUGAGCACUCAACUGGAAAUAAAGUUAACUGGAGCUAUGCUUU